CAGUCGCCACGGUAAUACGAAGGGGGCUAGCGUUGCUCGGAAUGACUGGGCGUAAAGGGCGCGUAGGCGGCGGCCAAAGUCAGGCGUGAAAUUCCCGGGCUCAACCUGGGGGCUGCGUUUGACACUUGGUUGCUUGAGUAGGGAAGAGGGUCGUGGAAUUCCCAGUGUAGAGGUGAAAUUCGUAGAUAUUGGGAAGAACACCGGUGGCGAAGGCGGCGACCUGGUCCUUUACUGACGCUGAGGCGCGAAAGCGUGGGGAGCAAACAGGAUUAGAUACCCCAGUAGUCCCUGUCUCUUAUAC
rnacentral:rRNA from 1 species